AGCGCAGAGCCAGGAUCCUCCUGUGAGCCAUGGCCCUGGCUGCCCUGCUUAGCCUCUCGGAACCUGGGCCAUCAGGGGUGGUGUCAGAAGUGGGGUUGGAAGUAGAGCUUCUAAUGACCCCCAGAAGUGCUGAGUGACCUAGCGAGGUACCCUCCAGGCCCAUUGUGUCUCUUUCUCUCUCGGAGCAGCUGGGGAUCGUGUGUAUUUUCACCAGGUAAAGAAAGCUUUUUAUGGUUCACUGACUGAGGACAAUCAACCCCUUCACAAUCUAGAACCUGAAGAUUGGAUCUUCUGAGAACAUCAGAGAAAGACUGCCCUUGCCAUCCACACUGCAGUAAACAUCAGAACCGUGAACUUUGGCUUCAUGAUCUCACAACUGAGAAGGAUCCCUCCACAUUCUUGGAAAUAUACACCCAUUGGAACCCGUAAGCAGACCAUGUGUCAACGUAUGCAGAGUUUGUGCAGACACACAGACCCUCUGGGGAGUAUAUGUUUGAAUCUGAU
rnacentral:lncRNA from 1 species